rnacentral:rRNA from 1 species
AUGCAGUCGAGCGGAUGAGGGAGCUUGCUCCUGGAUUCAGCGGCGGACGGKUGAGUAAUGCCUAGGAAUCUGCCUGGUAGUGGGGGAUAACSUCCGGAAACGGGCGCUAAUACCGCAUACGUCCUGAGGGAGAAAGUGGGGGAUCUUCGGACCUCACGCUAUCAGAUGAGCCUAGGUCGGAUUAGCUAGUUGGUGGGGUAAAGGCCUACCAAGGCGACGAUCCGUAACUGGUCUGAGAGGAUGAUCAGUCACACUGGAACUGAGACACGGUCCAGACUCCUACGGGAGGCAGCAGUGGGGAAUAUUGGACAAUGGGCGAAAGCCUGAUCCAGCCAUGCCGCGUGUGUGAAGAAGGUCUUCGGAUUGUAAAGCACUUUAAGUUGGGAGGAAGGGCAGUAAGUUAAUACCUUGCUGUUUUGACGUUACCAACAGAAUAAGCACCGGCUAACUUCGUGCCAGCAGCCGCGGUAAUACRAAGGGUGCAAGCGUUAAUCGGAAUUACUGGGCGUAAAGCGCGCGUAGGUGGUUCAGCAAGUUGGAUGUGAAAUCCCCGGGCUCAACCUGGGAACUGCAUCCAAAACUACUGAGCUAGAGUACGGUAGAGGGUGGUGGAAAUUUCCUGUGUAGCGGUGAAAUGCGUAGAUAUAGGAAGGAACACCAGUGGCGAAAGGCGACCACCUGGACUGAUACUGACACUGAG